rnacentral:rRNA from 1 species
GAUGAACGCUAGCGACAGGCUUAACACAUGCAAGUCGAGGGGCAGCGGGGAGUAGCAAUACUCUGCCGGCGACCGGCGCACGGGUGAGUAACGCGUAUGCAACUUACCUAUCAGAGGAGAAUAGCUCAUCGAAAGUCGGAUUAAUACCCCAUAAAACAGGGGUCCCGCAUGGGAAUAUUUGUUAAAGAUUCAUCGCUGAUAGAUAGGCAUGCGUUCCAUUAGGCAGUUGGCGGGGUAACGGCCCACCAAACCGACGAUGGAUAGGGGUUCUGAGAGGAAGGUCCCCCACAUUGGUACUGAGACACGGACCAA